rnacentral:sRNA from 1 species
UAGCACACUGCCGCACAAGACCGCUCUACAGUCUCAUCCAAGACUUGAAGAGCUCCCGACUUGUAAUACUACUUGUGUUUACCAGGGACUGUUUACACUGCUUCGCUUCCGAAGACCGUUAGGGACGUGGGAUUAGAUUUCCUCGCGUUAUAACGAAUCGGCGUCUAAGGGUUUAAGUGUCACUUGACAUUACUGCUCCCACGUGUUCUUUCCCAUCUGGCGGCCGCGGCUCCUGUCCUGACCCUGACCCUCCCUCCCGAGGCUCAGCCGUCCCCCAACAACCCCCAGCCUUGUACUGAUGUCGGAUGCGAGAGCCUGUGCUUAAGUAAGAAUCAGGCCUUAUUGGAGACAUUCAAGCAAAGGUUGGACAACUACUUUUCCAGAACAGAAAGGAAACUCAUGCAUCAGAAAAGUUUAAGGAAUUUCUGGGGACCUACAAUAAACUUACAGAGACCUGCUUUUUGGACUGUGUUAAAGACUUCACAACAAGAGAAGUAAAACCUGAAGAGACCACCUGUUCAGAACAUUGCUUACAGAAAUAUUUAAAAAUGACACAAAGAAUAUCCAUGAGAUUUCAGGAAUAUCAUAUUCAGCAGAAUGAAGCCCUGGCAGCCAAAGCAGGACUCCUUGGCCAACCACGAUAGAGAAGUCCUGAUGGAUGAACUUUUGAUGAAAGAUUGCCAACAGCUGCUUUAUUGGAAAUGAGGACUCAUCUGAUAGAAUCCCCUGAAAGCAGUAGCCACCAUGUUCAACCAUCUGUCAUGACUGUUUGGCAAAUGGAAACCGCUGGAGAAACAAAAUUGCUAUUUACCAGGAAUAAUCACAAUAGAAGGUCUUAUUGUUCAAUGAAAUAAUAAGAUGCAACAUUUGUUGAGGCCUUAUGAUUCAGCAGCUUGGUCACUUGAUUAGAAAAAUAAACCAUUGUUUCUUCAAUUGUGACUGUUAAUUUUAAAGCAACUUAUGUGUUCAAUCAUGUAUGAGAUAGAAAAAUUUUUAUUACUCAAAGUAAAAUAAAUGGAAAUAUCAUUGAGCAGUUGUUUAUACUGUAUGGUACCAUAGUAUUCUCACUGGACUG